rnacentral:rRNA from 1 species
CCUACGGGAGGCAGCAGUGAGGAAUAUUGGUCAAUGGGCGGAAGCCUGAACCAGCCAAGUAGCGUGCAGGAUGACGGCCCUACGGGUUGUAAACUGCUUUUAUACGGGAAUAACGCGCCUUACGUGUAGAUCUUUGCAUGUACCGUAUGAAUAAGGACCGGCUAAUUCCGUGCCAGCAGCCGCGGUAAUACGGAGGGUCCGGGCGUUAUCCGGAUUUAUUGGGUUUAAAGGGUGCGUAGGCCGCAUGUCAAGCGUGCGGUGAAAGGUCCGGGCUCAACCCGGGCAUUGCAGCGCGAACUGGCGGACUUGAGUCCGCGGAAGGCAGGCGGAAUUCGUCGUGUAGCGGUGAAAUGCUUAGAUAUGACGAAGAACCCCGAUUGCGAAGGCAGCUUGCUGCAGCGGAACUGACGCUGAUGCUCGAAAGCGCGGGUAUCGAACAGGAUUAGAUACCCUUGUAGUC